UACGGAGGGUGCAAGCGUUAUCCGGAUUCACUGGGUUUAAAGGGUGCGUAGGUGGGCAGGUAAGUCAGUGGUGAAAUCUCGGGGCUCAACCCCGAAACUGCAUUCGAUACUGCGUGGCUCGAGUACUGGAGAGGAGACUGGAAUUUACGGUGUAGCAGUGAAAUGCGUAGAUAUCGGAAGGAACGCCGGUGGCGAAAGCGAAUCGACUGGACCUUUUCUGACGCUGAGGCGCGAAAGCCAGGGGAGCAAACGGG
rnacentral:rRNA from 1 species